rnacentral:rRNA from 1 species
AAGUAGAACGCUGAAGCUUGGUGCUUGCACCGAGCGGAUGAGUUGCGAACGGGUGAGUAACGCGUAGGUAACCUGCCUGGUAGCGGGGGAUAACUAUUGGAAACGAUAGCUAAUACCGCGUGACAACAGUUAUUGCAUGAUAACUGUUUAAAAGGGGCAAUUGCUCCACUACCAGAUGGACCUGCGUUGUAUUAGCUAGUUGGUGAGGUAACGGCUCACCAAGGCGACGAUACAUAGCCGACCUGAGAGGGUGAUCGGCCACACUGGGACUGAGACACGGCCCAGACUCCUACGGGAGGCAGCAGUAGGGAAUCUUCGGCAAUGGACGGAAGUCUGACCGAGCAACGCCGCGUGAGUGAAGAAGGUUUUCGGAUCGUAAAGCUCUGUUGUAAGAGAAGAACGAGUGUGAGAGUGGAAAGUUCACACUGUGACGGUAUCUUACCAGAAAGGGACGGCUAACUACGUGCCAGCAGCCGCGGUAAUACGUAGGUCCCGAGCGUUAUCCGGAUUUAUUGGGCGUAGAGCGAGCGCAGGCGGUUAGAUAAGUCUGAAGUUAAAGGCUGUGGCUUAACCAUAGUACGCUUUGGAAACUGUUUAACUUGAGUGCAAGAGGGGAGAGUGGAAUUCCAUGUGUAGCGGUGAAAUGCGUAGAUAUAUGGAGGAACACCGGUGGCGAAAGCGGCUCUCUGGCUUGUAACUGACGCUGAGGCUCGAAAGCGUGGGGAGCAAACAGGAUUAGA